rnacentral:snoRNA from 1 species
UCUGCCCCUAGAGAUGUUGCAGAUGUUGCUGCUGUGUCACAUGUGACUCAGUAAGUGACAGAGAGGAGAGACUAUGUGUAUGCUCUGUGUUCAGACUACAAACAUCUGAAUAAUUAGUAUCCUACCAUU